UUUCCUGCCUUGGCUCCCAGACAGGCAGGGUGAGGGGAGCAGCUUGCCAAGCCACCCUGCUCCGGCCCUGUGUCUGUCGCCGAGCCAGGAGACCCAGACUCCUUCCUCCAUGUGUCCUGAGGCCUCCCGAGAGGGGGGCUCCCCGUGGGCCGGUGGAAGGGCCUUCCUGCCUCUCGUCCUGAGAUGUGGGGAAUAGGCCCAGGGUCCCUCUGUUCAGGGCUAGGGAGCUUCGUGCAUGGAGGGAGCAGCCCUAAUCUUGGCAGGUCUGCGGCCUGGGUACUAAUCUGGGGAUUCCCAUUUAUUUAAGGCAGGAGACAUCCCUGCUGGAAGUGAUGGGAAAGAGACAAUAAGAGAUUUGCUGGGCUGCCCAGACAGGAAGAUGAAAACAUGCUCCUAAGUACCUCCUAAUCCACUGGCCUGAAUCCCAGCACACCUCACUUCUCCUCCCGCCCCUAUCCUUUCCGGAGAGUUUUCACCCUGAGGAUUCGAAUCUGGUAGGAAGAGAAGGCGGCAGGGGUGUCAUCUUGGGAGAAUAGAGAAAGAGGUGGGCUUUAUGGAGCUGAGAAGGUGUUGGAGUGUGUCUUGACCCAGCCUGACUCCCAUUUGCCAGAAAUCUUCCAUGAUCUUCAGCCCGUACCACCUACUGGCGUCCACAAAACUCUUCGGAGUUGGUCAUCUCUCAGAGAUCCAUAUAACUUUAUGGAGCAGCCCAGGGAGUACAAGUCUGGUCCAUUUUAACAAAAGAUGAAAGAAGACUUCAGGGGUGUUGGAAGAGAGCUAAAGAAAAGGAAAGUUCAGGUGAUCUUCUCAGAGAUCCUUCCAAUCCCAUGAGCAAGUAAAGACAGAAUACAGAAAAUACUGGAAGUGAACCAGAGGCUGCACGAUUGGUGUGAAGCUGAAGGUUUUGGUUUUGUGGAACACUGGGCCACAUUCUGGAGGAAAGAGAGCUUUACAAAUGGGACAGCCUGUAUCUGUUAAAUGUGAGGUGGGUUAUCUUAGUUGAAGACUAGCUGCAGCAGCCAGAAGGAUGGCAAAAGAUAACAGUAAAUAGAAAUAUUACUCUGUAUUUCAUGGAAUAGUUUGCAACUAGUAUUUUUAAGUUACAAGUUUUAACUCUUUGUUUAAAAAAAAUGACUAGAUUUUGUAUAAACUGUGUUGCAGUAUGACUCAGAAAUUUGGUGCUUUUGAAAAUUUUACUCCAAAUCUCAAAUCCAAGCCCCAUUUUCAAAAUUUACCUAGAUACUUUUGAACCUAAACUCACUGGAAGUCAUUGGUACUGAAGGUCCUAAGUGUUUUGUGGACCAGAUUUUUCAAGGUAUUUAGGUGCCUAAAGAUACAGCAGUGCCUGGUGAGAUUUUUCAAAAGCACCUAGGUGUCUGAAUCCUGGAAGUUAGGUACCUAGGUGCUUUUGAAAACCUCGCUACGUGCCUAUCUGCAUAUUUAAGUGCCACACGCUUUUGAUAAUCUGGCCCUCAGUCGCCUUUGAAAAUGUGAUUUGGGAGCCUAAGUCAUUUAGGCACUUUUGAAAAUUUUAGCCUUGACCUGUGAGGGUCAAAAUUAAUUUCAAUCUACUUAAUUAUGUAUUUGGGCAGUGUCACAAUUUUAAGCUGUAGUGGGCAAGCAUGGAUAAGUUCCAGUCCAGCCUUCUUUUGUGAAGAUUAGGUGCAGGCCUAAAGAAGGCUUUCUCCAGCAGUGAGCUAAGAACAUCUGAUGUCAUCAUGGGGAUUUUUAAUAAACAGUGAAGUAAAUAAUAGCAUCUAAAAUUGCAGAGUAAGGAAAGGAUUCCGGCACAUGUGUGUUCAGUCAAUAAAUGAUUGAUUAUAAUGUUCAAAGUCAUUUUUCUGAGCUAUCCAGAGAAGGGACAAUAUCUGUCUAUCUAUUGUAGCUAUUUAUAAGGCCUCUGUCACUUUGGUAUCUAUAUGGUAUCUAUACGAUAAGAUAAUCCAUUGCCAGAAUGAAUUUCAGUCUGGUAUACCUUUAGAAUUUUUUGGUAUUUAUUUAUUUGUUUGAGAUAAAAUAAUUAAUGUUUUAAUAAUAAAUAGCGGACACAUCAUCAUGUGAAAACGAGUUAAGAGGCAUAUUCAUUUAGCCUCUUCAUUUGAAUCCUAAUAGAGACUGGCACCUCUCCAUUUAUCUUGCUUCAAAAUGUUUACUGAAAAUGAGUGACCGUUGUAUUUGAACACUGAGGAGCAUCCUUCAUGUAAGCUUCUCCCUAUAAUGUUAUGUGGCUAAAAUAGAAUUCUGCUGGAACACUGAGUCACGGGGGCUGACCCAGCAAAGCGCUGUGUGUGUGACACAUAAUGAAAGGUUGAACUGUCUGUCUCCGAGGUAGCGUAGCAGAUCAAAUCACAGAGGAUCAUGCAGAGAUAUGUUGCCUUUCUCUGAGUGACAGAAGUUAAUAAUUAGUGACAAUGAUUGACAGAUACACUCCAUCUGCCGCUCUGACGCCCAGGAGCAGUUAUUCCACAACUGUCUGCGGGCACAAUGAACUCCUGUGGGAGAGAAAGAUGUCCUGUGAUUGACAGCUGCCUUCAAGAGAGACAGGCCACUGACAGUAAAGUCACUGUCAGCAAAAGUGCAAAGUCUCCCCCUGUUCCCUGGAAGUCUCACUUGCUGUAUACAUUUAUUCUGUUUCAUUUAUCAUGUCAGGUAUGGUUUUAAAUACAUUAAUAGCUAGCCUGUUUUUUAACUGUAGGAUUUUUCAAAUGGUAAAUUAGAGAUAUCCACACACUGUGACACUUCAUCAUCCUACUACCUGUUCUCUGUAGUACAUUGGACAUAAACCUACUCACAUAUCUGUAUUUAAUCAGUCUAUCUUUCUAUCUGUACUGGAAGUAGAGAAAUCUUGCACUAUUGCCCCUGUAAAUUGCGAUUCUAAACGUUCACAAAAGAUAAUCUGUUUGUACCUCAUCCAUCCUGUUUUUAAAACUUUUUCAAACUGUAGAAUAAAUAUUUGAAAAUACUUUUUAUUUAAACAGUCUCAUUCUAUAUGGGGUUUUUUGUAUGCAAUAUUUAUGACUUACCUUAUUCUUGAUUUUAAGUUACAGGAAAAUGACAAGUGAUUUUCGAUCCUAAAUCUUAUUUGCUAGAUUUUAAUAAGCAUUCACAUCACUGUAGCAUACAUAAUAACAUAUUUGCAAUAAACUGCAAAUAACUAAGAUGUAUUUCAAACAUAAAAUGAUGCAUGAGUAAUAAAAUCAUUCUGAAUG